rnacentral:miRNA from 2 species
UAUCCGGCGCCGCAGGGAGG